rnacentral:snRNA from 1 species
UGUCAUUUUAAUCAUGAAGUGUU